CGACUCUGGUUUCUCUUCAUUACGCAUGCUUUCGCCUUUUACUUAAAGACUUCCGUGGAGAGGAACACUUACGUGAAGUUCAACGUAGUUUUUGGAAGGGGCUUUGCUUUCUGGCAGAGC